UCGUUGGGUACCUGAUGGAGCUGCGAGUGCAGGUUCGGGGGCAGAUCGGGCGGCUUCCGCGCGGGGGGCAGCAGCGGGGAGACGACGCCGAAGCGUAGCUCGUCGGGCGGGGGCGGGAACUCCGCCCUGAGGAGGCGGCCGUUGCGGCAGUCGAAGACCACGGCGGAGACGUCGGCGCCGCCGAGCGCGAACCCGCCGAGGCGGCGGAGCACGGGGGCGAGCUCCGGGGGCUGGGGAAGCGGCACGAACGCCGGCUGCUCGUCCCGGCGCGCGGUGUGGUAGAAGCCGAGGAGGCGGGGCGGGUUGCGGGCGCGGAAGCGGCGGAGGAAGGACGAGUCGGAGGCGAGGCCGAGCCAGCGGGAGGAGACGAGGGCGGCGCGGACGAGCGUGGUGGGGAAGGCGAGGCGGAGGAGGAUCUCGCGGAGGAGGUCGUCGUCGGCGAGCACCGACGAGGCCGCAGAAGCCGCCGGUGGCGGAGAGGAGGGACGCGUCGCCUCGUCUUCCAUUUGCAUGCGAUCGAGGAGGUAUUGGA
rnacentral:sRNA from 1 species